CAAUGGGGGGAACCCUGAUCCAGCCAUGCCGCGUGUGUGAAGAAGGCCUUUUGGUUGUAAAGCACUUUAAGCGAGGAGGAGGCUACUGGUAUUAAUACUACCGGAUAGUGGACGUUACUCGCAGAAUAAGCACCGGCUAACUCUGUGCCAGCAGCCGCGGUAAUACAGAGGGUGCGAGCGUUAAUCGGAUUUACUGGGCGUAAAGCGCGCGUAGGUGGCUAAUUAAGUCAAAUGUGAAAUCCCCGAGCUUAACUUGGGAAUUGCAUUCGAUACUGGUUAGCUAGAGUAUGGGAGAGGAUGGUAGAAUUCCAGGUGUAGCGGUGAAAUGCGUAGAGAUCUGGAGGAAUACCGAUGGCGAAGGCAGCCAUCUGGCCUAAUACUGACACUGAGGUGCGAAAGCAUGGGGAGCAAACAGGAUUAGAUACCCUGGUAGUCCAUGCCGUAAACGAUGUCUACUAGCCGUUGGGGCCCUUGAGGCUUUAGUGGCGCAGCUAACGCGAUAAGUAGACCGCCUGGGGAGU
rnacentral:rRNA from 1 species